UUUUGUUUUUUUUUUUAAAAAAAACCCUAGCUGAACGAAGCCCCACCCAACCCCCAGCUUUCUCACUCGCUCGCUCACACUCUCUAUAGUCUCUAACGGAGGCAGAGCUGGGAGUUCAGCUCGGUUCACCGCCAUCGAAUGCUCGCAGCCGUCCCCGCGCGUCUCGCCGGAUCCUCCACGUCAUAUGCUCGCGUCUGGCCUCUCUCCUCCAUCUGAGCUCGGCUGCUUGUCCCUCUCUCGCCUCCGCAUCUGCUCGAGCGGUGCUUCCUGCUCGUGUCGUCGCCGCGCCUCCCUCGCCUCUCUCCCUCCUCACAUCUCUGCUCGAGCUUUGUGGUCCCUCGCGUGCUCGUUGCCGGCGGUCUUGCUCCCUAUCGUUCAUAUUCUGCUAGUUCUCCGCGUUGUAAACAUAAGACGGACUGCCGCAGUGCCGCCAGCUUCUCCGCGUCACAUCCUUGCUCCUUUUCCUUCAUGCUCUUCUUUUUGGAAGACCACCGAAGAGUGGUGAGCUGCUAUCAUUUCCACCUCAUCAUGCCUCAUGUGAUGCUACUCAACGGCGAUGAUCGGCUACAAAGUUUGUAGCUACCACCACCACCACCACAAGCACGUUGCUUUCCUCAGCCUCAUACUCUUUGGGUUUUCACUUCUCCAUCACCUUUGCCACGGACCUUGUGAUUCAUAUGAACAUGUCCCGCAGUGAGUUUAUCUUUCAUUGGAUUCAAGAUAUCUUAGUGGGUUCAAUCUAUCUAAACUAAGGUAGACUACAAAUUUCAUGGCAGGCAGUGGCCUGACAUCUUUGGGUCGUGUGAAGCUCACUGAUUUAGUUCCUUUGGAAGGGUUGCCAUCUGAUGCCUAUAAAAUAUCAGUUUCAAUUUUGUCACAAUCAUUGGCUCAGUUUUCAGCUGUCAUUGUCCAAUUUCCAGAAAGUGACGGGUCUCUUCUAAGAUCUGGUUUAGAAUCUGCCCGCCUCUAUUUCCAUCAAAGAGAAUCAUACCCCCCUGCAGAUAUAAUCCAUACCGCUGAGUCUCGGGAGUGGUGCAAAACAUCUGGUUAUUAUGCAGAUCCUCAUUUGUGGCAAGAAAGCUAUGAUUAUAGACCGGGAUUAACUCCUUCAGAACCAAACAACUCCAUUGAGUUCCCUCCUGCUGGUUUGCAAGAUAUGUUUGCUUCAUUUGGAAAAGCAGCAAGGCAUAUUCUGGACGCAAUUAGCUUCCAUUUGAAUUUGCGUAGCUUUCCGUUUGCUGAAAUACUGGAUAAUGUUCCCCUUAGAAAUAGGGAAAUUUCUUCUUCAGUCUUAUCUGUUUGCUGUCAUGCUAGGCCAUCAUUUCAGGAGCCACAGCAUCAUAAUAUAGCUACUCAAGAGGAUGGCCAAAUUGUUAUGUAUCCUGACCAGGAUCACCAUGUUGAUAAAGGCUUGAUAUCUAUUGUCAAGUCUGACAAGGCUGGUUUACAGGUAAGAGACUUUCAAGGUCGAUGGAUUCUUGUGGAUGGAGAUCUUGGACCUCAGGAAGCUGUUGUUUAUCCUGGUCUUGCUCUCUAUCAAGCCACUGCAGGGUAUGUAAGCCCUGCAUUGCACAAAACUGAGAUUAACAUGGAGCCUAAUAUGUAUGGACGAUGUUCUUUAGCCUUUAAACUUCUGCCUAAAUCAAUGGCCAAUCUUGAUUGUUCAGAAAUGAGAGCGGCAGGUUAUGGAAUUGAAGCUCAGUUCCAGCUCCCCGUUCCAGUGGAUGAUUUUAUGCAAAGAUCUCAUCAAACUGAUCAUAUUUUUAAUAGGCCUGGUUUCCAGUGCUUCAAUUUUCCACCAACAAAUGAUGGAUCCGGGAAGACUAUAAGGAGGAGGAAGCAAAAUCCUAAAAGCAAACCUCUGCCACCUUCCAAGCGACUAAGGCUUGAGGCACAACGAGUUUUGAAAGAAAGGGUCCAAGAUAUUGCAGAUAAAAAAGGCAUCAAGCUGCGUUUCUGUAAUCUCAAGGAAUGUGAAAAUCACAUCCAUGCCUUAGACAGCCCAUGUGCGAAUAUACGAUUGGAGAUAGGGUGGCCACCUGGAGUUCCAUUUGUCCACCCCCAUGAUUUGCCUAACAAGGCAAAGUUGGGUUUUCUUGAGGCAUAUGAACCUGGUUGGACAGAAGCCCAUCAAAACUUGGACAGGCUAGUCAACACUCGGCUAACUUUAACAGUAGCGGGAGUGACCAGAACCAAGCAAGGGAUGAUAUUCAUAACUAGCCCAUCGUCGUCAUUAAUUAACCCCUCUGUAGUCGAAGAAUCAAACUUCUAGCAACAUAGAAGCAUGUUGAGAACAAUUAUUAGAUGUAAAAAGGAGCAAUGGACAUUAGGAAUGAAAGUGUUGGAUCAAUGCAAAGACCAAUAGAAAGAUAGACUCUUAUCUCUCUCUUGGUUUGUGCAUGUGUUUCCAUGGUUUGUCAGAGGAAUCAAUCACCCUGAUUUCCAGCAUAUGGGGAACAUGUGAUCAGGUUGUGAGGUUCUUGGGAGGAUAAUAAGCUUUUAGUUCUCAAUGCUUUGCUGGAUCCAUUUUUGGCUUGGUUCAAGUUUUCAAGUGGCGAAAAAUAAAUGACCAUUUUGUAUCUUCCUAAACUAAGAAGUGGGUAUCCAAAAUAUUUAACUAUUAAUUAAUAUGUACUGACUAUGUAAAAUUAUUUCACACAAUUAAUCAAUGAAAUUCAAAGAUUUAAAUGAUAA